rnacentral:lncRNA from 1 species
GGUUACAGAGGGUUAGAGUCUAUGACCAUCAGGGCAGGGAGAAUAUAACAGCAGGCAGGCAGGCAUGGUACUGGAGUGGUAGCUGAGAGCUUAUAUCUUGAUCCACAAACCUGAGGCAGAGAGAAGCCUAAAUGAGAAGCCCUCCUGGUGAUACGCCACUUCCAGCAAGAACACAAUCUCUAAUCUUUCCAGAGAGUUCUACCAACUGCAGACCAAGCAUUCAAGUAUGAUCCCUUGGGGAACAUUGUCAUUCAAACUACCACAGAGAAACAGUCCAAAUUAUCUAAGAACUUCCUGUCAGGCCUGUCCUCCUCAAGUUUUCACCAUCUCACAGUAAGGUCACUUUAGCCCAGGAUGUUAGGGGAACAUUUAAAUCCCUACUACAUCAUUAAAGCUUUACAAUGAGCUAAUAUUUGAAUUUGGGGGAAGGAGCCAAAGUCUACACUCCAUGGAACAAUGGGCUUGUAAAUUACUCAAGAAAACAAAUUAGGCCAAAGACUUUGGUCACUGUGCUAACAUAAGACUCAUUCAUAGUCUUUUGGUGACAACACUUAGAACAAAGCAUUUGGCUUAAAAGGAACAAAUACUGGCAUUUUGAAACUAAUUUUUUAUAUUUAAUUAUAUAUUAUGAUCUCUGUCUCUCUGUUUUUCUGCGAAGGAAAUGUUACCAUCUACUUCCAGAAACAAUUUGGCUGACUUCUUGGAAAUGCUUUCCCCUGUGUUUGUACUUUGGUAUAUUUUCAUUCUUUUCUACUCACAGACUGGCCGUAAGGACAAUGGGAGCCUCUCGAGCUCUGAGACUGAACAGUCUCCUAUUUUCACAUGCCUGGCAGACGAAGAAUCCUUUUGAAAGGGGGUGUGUGGGAGGAACAGUGGAAUUCUGUGGGCUGGAGAAAUUCAGGCAGCUGGCAGUUGAACUUUAA